AACUGGAACGAAGAAGAGACCUGGAUCCAUUCAGGCACCGAAGGGGCAAACCAUUGUUAAUAAUAACUGGUGAAACUCUCAGGUAGAAGGACUUUGUUUCAUUU
rfam:Chloroflexi bacterium RBG_16_47_49 RBG_16_scaffold_12996, whole genome shotgun sequence.